rnacentral:tRNA from 1 species
GCUCUUGUGGCGGAAUCGGUAGACGCGAAGGACUUAAAAUCCUUUUCCAGCAAUGGAGUGCCGGUUCGAUUCCGGCCGGGAGCACCA